rnacentral:rRNA from 1 species
AGGUGGAGCGAAUCACAAAACUCGGUCUCAGUUCAGAUUGCAGGCUGCAACUCGCCUGCAUGAAGUUGGAAUUGCUAGUAAUCGCGAAUCAGAAUGUCGCGGUGAAUACGUUCCCGGGCCUUGUACACACCGCCCGUCACACCAUGAGAGUCGAUAACACCCGAAGCCUGUGAGCUAACCUUUUAGGAGGCAGCAGUCGAAGGUGGGGUUGAUGAUUGGGGUGAAGUCGUAACAAGGUAUC